rnacentral:lncRNA from 1 species
CCUGGGAUGCUUGCCGCAUUGCCGCCCUUUGCCCUGAAGCCAGGCGGCCCUGUGAGGCCUGCAGCCCUGAUGCCCUGCGAUGCCUGCAGCCCUGACGCCCUGGGAGGCUUGAAGGUUUGCAGCCCUUUGCCCUGAAGCAGGGUGGCCCUAGAGGCCUGCAGCCCUGAUGCCCUGGGAGCUUGCAGCCCUGCAGCCCUGCCGCUCUUCAGCCCUUCUGCCCUGCUGCCCUGCAUCCCUGAUGCCCUGUUGCCAUGCAGCCCUGUGAGGCCUGCCACCCUUCCACCCUGCUGCCCUGCCUCCCUGCAGCCCUGCUGCUCUGGUAGGCCUUCAGCCCUGCCGCCCUGCUGCCUGGCUGUUCAGCGACCCUGAGAGGCGUGCAGCCCUGCUGCGAUGCUUCCCUACCGCCUUGCCACCCUGCUGCCCUGCAGCCCUUCCACCAUGCUUCUCUGCAGUCCUACUGCCCUGCUGCCCUGCAGCGCUGCCACCCUGCGAGGCCUACAGCCCGGUCACCAGUGUCACCUACGCGGCCUUUAAGGUUUCUGAGCAGACACUGGACCCUGACCUGACUGGCGCUGCCUCCUCCGGCCCCCUCUCACUUGCAGAGAGAAGAGAUUUGGAAAGAAUCUCCAGGAAUCUCCACAGUCCUCUAGAACGUGUCUGCCUUUGGUCGGGUGUGCCGUGUAUUGGGAGGAUGUGGAUUAAGAAUCCUGCAAUCCUGGUGUAACUCUGAUACUGGUGAGUUAUCUCCAGCUAGCAUUAAUUAUUCUAUUUUAAAUGUAUAGCUUUGCUUUGCUUUCCUUUCUUUUUCUUUUUCUUCUCUUUCUCCUCUCUUUUUGAUAGUCUACCUUUUUCUUUUGUUUUGGGGUUUUUUCUUUGUUUGUUUGUUUUUCUCUAGAGCUUAGUAAAUAAAGUAUGGAUUUACAUAUCUGAAUGGAUUCAUUCAAAUUCUUACCCUGCCCUUGGCCAGCAGUUAUUCAACCUUUCUGUAGAUCAGUAUACUCAUUUGAAAUAUAGAAUGUUAAAACAUCUAAUAAAACACGUGAAGUACUAGCAUAUUAUAAUAAUAGUUAUUGCCUUUAUCCACAAAUAUUGCAAUGCUCAAAAUAUGAAUGUUCCAAAAUCAUUCAGUGACCUCAAGGCAAUCUUGUGAUAUUUUCUCUGUGCUCCUCAGUAUUCUUCUUUAAAUUCUUUUCUUCUUUAUCUCCUUUAUGUCUCUCUCUCUAUAUCUCUCUCUCCCUAUCUUUCAUCAUACCUUCUUCUUUCUCCAUAUUCCCCCAAUCAUCUGCUUUGAAGAUCUCCUCUAUGAAGACUUUCCUGAUUCUAUAGGCAAGAUUUAAUCUGAGUGCCCUCUCUUUAUUCUCCCCUACUAUUCAGUGGAUACCUUUAUCUUGAGACUUAUUUUAAUGAAAAUUUCUAUUUAUACAUGUCUUUGAAACACAAACUGCAAACUAUUUGAUAGUAACUAUCAUGGCCAUUGUGGGCACAUCUUAAAUGUGUGUCAUAUUAAUUUUUGCGUGUCAUCUGCCCUCUCCUCACAUCUUUCCUCUUCCUUUCCUCCCUUACCUUGUCUUGUUGUUUUUCUACUUUCCUUUUGGGUUUUCUAUCCCUGCAUACUCUUUCCCAUUGCAUCUGUCAUUCUUGUUUUAUUUUCUUUCUGACUCCACUAUGAUGGCCAAACAAAAUCAUCUUUAGUACUCCUGUGGUCUCCACUUUCCUUGCCCUCUGCACUGCUAUCCACAAGUUCUUAGAAAAUAUUCUUGGAUGUCUUCUUCACUUCCUAUCAUAUGCAUUUACUUCAUGACCAUUUCAGAACAUUUGAAAGGUAGUUGGGAAUUUAUUUUUAAAAGAUAACUUUAAUUAGUUUUCUUUUACUGCAGACAUAAGACUUUUUUUCCUGUUUGACUAUGCUUAAAUCUAGGAGUACUCUAACUCACUGAUCCUCCUUACCCUCAUAUCCAGGCAAAAGAACCUGCAAAAUCUUAGUCCUUUUUAAUACUUGAAUUUGUCAAAACGUAAGAGAAAUAAUUUUGCCCAAGCUUACCAGAGAAUAGAGAUGCCACAGGUAGAGAUUUAGUCCAACUUUAUACUGGACUCCAAAUUGAAUUGGGUGCUAAGUAACCAUUAACUCACUUGAAUAUGCCAGGAGAGGGAGACCUUGGAACAAAUUGACAGGUUAAUCCUAGAGAAGCAGCUUCAUCAUUUCCCCAUGUAGCUGAUAAACCUCAUUCAAUUAACUUAAAUAACAUGAAUGAUGGAUUUCCCUCUGUAUAUAAAUUGAGAGUUUUCUAAAGGGGUUUUUCCCCUUGAAAUAACUCCUGACUACUAUCUCUCUUAGUCACUGCAACAGGAAAGGAUGAAUAAGCAACAUAUUUUCUCAGUAGCAGUGGAGCUAUUUUCCUGGUAUUCUACAAAAUCUCAGAAUUAUUAAUCGAAAAG